AGUGAACGCUGGCGGUAGGCCUAACACAUGCAAGUCGAACGGCAGCACAGGAGAGCUUGCUCUCUGGGUGGCGAGUGGCGGACGGGUGAGGAAUACAUCGGAAUCUACUCUGUCGUGGGGGAUAACGUAGGGAAACUUACGCUAAUACCGCAUACGACCUACGGGUGAAAGCAGGGGAUCUCCGGACCUUGCGCGAUUGAAUGAGCCGAUGUCGGAUUAGCUAGUUGGCGGGGUAAAGGCCCACCAAGGCGACGAUCCGUAGCUGGUCUGAGAGGAUGAUCAGCCACACUGGAACUGAGACACGGUCCAGACUCCUACGGGAGGCAGCAGUGGGGAAUAUUGGACAAUGGGCGCAAGCCUGAUCCAGCCAUACCGCGUGGGUGAAGAAGGCCUUCGGGUUGUAAAGCCCUUUUGUUGGGAAAGAAAUCCAGCUGGCUAAUACCCGGUUGGGAUGACGGUACCCAAAGAAUAAGCACCGGCUAACUUCGUGCCAGCCGCCAGCGUAA
rnacentral:rRNA from 1 species